rnacentral:rRNA from 1 species
CGCGGCCUAUCAGCUUGUUGGUGAGGUAACGGCUCACCAAGGCAUCGACGGGUAGCUGGUCUGAGAGGAUGAUCAGCCACGCUGGGACUGAGACACGGCCCAGACUCCUACGGGAGGCAGCAGUAGGGAAUAUUGCACAAUGGGCGAAAGCCUGAUGCAGCAACGCCGCGUGCGGGAAGAAGGCCCUAGGGUUGUAAACCGCUUUCAGCAGGGAAGAAAAUGACGGUACCUGCAGAAGAAGGUGCGGCCAACUACGUGCCAGCAGCCGCGGUGACACGUAGGCACCAAGCGUUGUCCGGAUUUAUUGGGCGUAAAGAGCUCGUAGGCGGUUCAGUUAGUCGGGUGUGAAAACUCUGGGCUCAACCCAGAGACGCCACUCGAUACUGCUGUGACUAGAGUGCGGUAGGGGAGCGGGGAAUUCCUAGUGUAGCGGUGAAAUGCGCAGAUAUUAGGAGGAACACCAGUGGCGAAGGCGCCGCUCUGGGCCGUAACUGACGCUGAGGAGCGAAAGCGUGGGUAGCAAACAGGAUUAGAUACCCUGGUAGUCCACGCCGUAAACGUUGGGCACUAGGUGUGGGUCUCAACCAACGAGAUCCGCGCCGUCACUAACGCAUUAAGUGCCCCGCCUGGGGAGUACGG